CUAUGAAAGAAUGAGCCCCACAAAACAUGAAGCCACUUCUCACUGAUCUUGCAUUUGCACCUGGAUUAAGCCAGGCCUGAAGGCGGUGCUCCUUGCAUUAAGGCCAGUCAGUAUUGGGCUUCUGAUCCUUGCAACUAAGAGACUUCCAGGGAAUACAAGAUGUGUGUCAUUANNNNNNNNNNNNNNNNNNNNNNNNNNNNNNNNNNNNNNNNCAUUUGGAGGCCAGGAAAGCCUCCUAGAGGAAAGGGCAUUUGAGGUUGAACUUAAAGGAUGAAUGGGGUUUCUUGGGCAGAUCUCUCAGUGAUGGGACAACAUUGCCAUGGUAUUAGGUAGGCCCAGUGUUGUUUGACCACAGAAUGAGAGGGUGGGUUGGAAAGACGUACAGGGGCCCCAGAGACCCCUCACAAAGGGCUUCAAAAGGGCCAGAGAAUAUGAGUUUUAUUCUUCACGCAUUAGGUUCACAUUCAGGAAAUUUCAAUAGAGGAGGCAGGGUUUCUCAAUUAACAAACUCCUCUUUGGAAACCCUCCUGGAACAGGUGAUCCCAGCCUCCUUCCUCCUGGAAGCCUGUCGUCUCCUCUGUAGGCGGAUUGGCUGCCCCAGCUCCACCGCCGGCUGCGGCUGAAUGGCACCGGCGUAAGUAAGCCAUGCUGGGCAAAAUUCCAGAAGAGACCGGCUAAGGCUUGGGAAAACUGAUUCUCUGAGUCUCUCAUUUCUUUCAGACUCGGAAAUUCUCCUCUUGCUCAUUUCUACCAGGAACAAAGAGCAUGACGGGCUGUUGCAAUAGGCUCUGCGAGCUGUGGUGGAGUCUGAGGGGGCGGGGGCUACAGUGGUCCCUCCAGCAGUGUCCGUGGGGCUUCCUUGCCAGAGGUGACCUGAGGCUCAGAAGAGGGGGUACCCAUCCAGCUGCCUUUCUCUUGACAAAGGAAAACCUUGAACAGAAGAAGCCGACUGAGCCGGGAGGAGAGGAAGCGUCAGGAGUGCCCUCAAGGGAAGAAUACCUCAAGACUUCACUGACGGUGUACCAUGCCUGCCCUUUCCCAGUUCUCAGUCCUGACUCUUGGACUCUUGCUGGGGUUCAGCCUGCCCACCAGCACUUCAAGAAGGAGAAUUUAUAGACCUCAACCAGAAAGUUUGCCCAGGUCAGGAUCUAGAAUAGCAUGAAUGAGACUUGUGAUCUCUAAGCCAUUAGAGGUGGGGGAGCUUUUUGGGGAAACUUCAGUUUCUGGCAGAAAGUCCAGAAAUGGAAACUAGACUCUUCCAUGCCAUUGUCAAUUCAGUGUAAAAUUCAGGGGAGGGAUACUGAUGGGGCUUGUUGGCGGCAGGGUUUCAUUUGUUUAGAAACCAGGAAGCCUGGUUUCAUCUCUGCAUAGAGUGGGUGAAGGUAGAGAUUUGACUUAAAACAAUGGAUUCCAGCCCUGGCUGCCUGCUGCAAUCACCUGGGAGCUUUCAGCUCUACUGGGUCCCAGCCCCAGAGAUGCAGGUGAGGUUGACCUGGGUGCCAGCCUGACACUGGAUAUUUAAAUUCUAAUGUCAGCCAGGUUAGUGUAAUAUGCAGUCAGGGCUUUGAACUGUUGGAAAGGACAGGGGAGGACGGAGUAGUUUCUCACCUUCUGAUAUUCUUAACACUCAAUUCCAAUGAUGCUAAGAUGCAAUUUUCUUUUCACAUUUUAACAUCUCUGAAAUAAUCGUGUCUUCUAAUCACCGUGAUGAGAAAAGACUGCCUUGUAAUUUUGUUGAAAGUGUUCUUUCCAUCUUAGUGAUGUCUGGAAUAAUAGUUUGCCUUAUAAUCGACAGUGAAAUACGACCUCAAGUCUUAAUUCUUCCUCACAGGGAGGCAGCAAGGAAGAGCAAAUUGCCGCACUCGAACGCACAUCAGAUUUGCCUGGAAGGCUGUUCACACAGUGGUUGGGCCACAUCCCUCUGCGAGUUCAGGGUGAGGUCCGAUAAUUUACGUUUCUAACAAUUUCCCCAGUGGUGAUGCUAACGCUGCUGGUCCUGGUUCUCAUGUUGAGAAUCGAUGGUUAAGUGAGUAGUCCUGAUGCUGAACGCUUGUGUCCUCCCCAAACNNNNNNNNNNNNNNNNNNNNNNNNNNNNNNNNNNNNNNNNNNNNNNNNNNNNNNNNNNNNNNNGGUCAUGAGGGUGGAGCCAUCAUGAAUAGAAUUAGCAGCCUCAUUAAAGGGAUCCCAGGGAGCACCUCCUGGGCCCUUUGGCCAUGUGAAGUUGGCCAUCUAUGAACCAGAAAGCACCAAAUACCAAAUCUGCAAGCAUCUUGGUCUUGGAUUUACCAGCCUCCAGACAGUGAGAAAUGUUUGUUGUCUGAGUUAUCCAGUCAAUGGUCUUUUUGCCGUAGUAGCCUAAGAGCUAUAAUGUCUAAGUGAAGAGAUCACGGUGGCGACUGACGCAACCUUUGAUAGCCUAGGGCUGGGCUAAGUAAGCCCUUUCUAUGGCUGAAAACAGUUAGUCCUGACAGCAAUCCCAUGGCUGAAAACACCUAGUCCUGAGAGCAACCCCAUAAAAUUGGUGUNNNNNNNNNNNNNNNNNNNNNNNNNNNNNNNNNNNNNNNNNNNNNNNNNNNNNNNNNNNNNNNNNNNNNNNNNNNNNNNNNNNNNNNNNNNNNNNNNNNAGCAACCCCAUAAAAUUGGUGUUAACAUUCCCCCAUUUUGCAGAGAAGAAAACUGAGUCAGUAAGUGGCUAGUACAGCCUGCAAACCUAGAGCUGCGAUUUGAGCCCUGGCAAUUAGACUCACUGCACACUUCCGCAGCCCCUGCCCUUUGUAGGUGGUGUCAACCCGGAAAAUCAUCUUCUUUUCUUCAUUUGUAAACUGUGGCUACUGUGCUUUCUCUGGGGUGGGGGGGUGGGGUUUGUCACCAACAAGCUAAUCCUUCUGCCUGGAGCAUCCUGUUAGUGCUCGCUGCAUGGCAGCUGCUGUUUCUGAGAAUUCUUCUCUACUUCUGCUUAACCACAGGGAGGCAGUGUGCUCAAGUGGGGACCAGACCUGCCUUUGGGAGUCAAAGACUAGGUCUGACAAUGAUUUUUGCCACGAACUUUAGCCAGUGGGAAGUCACUGGUUGAGCUUGUGUUACACGUAGGGACUUACAUGGCCCCAGAGCAGGAGGUAGCUGAGAUUCAAGGUCAUCAGGCUUGGAAGGCAUUUCCCUGAGUGAUACCAAGUGACAAGACUCAUGUUGGGAGCAGGACAAUGACAUUGCCAGGGCCACAGAGCUUAGCAGUCAUUCAAUUUUCAACACACAUUUUUUAGGUACCUACCAGGUGCCAACCACUGUGCUGGGCCUGGGGAGAGAGGGCUGGAUGAGGAAGAUCUGCCCCUGGACUUUGUAUCCUAGCAUGUGGGUGGAGGGAUGGAAGAGGGAGGAAGGUGUAAAAGGGAUUAAUAAACCACACAUGAGUGAGAUAUGUGACAAGCACAAUCAGGAAUAUAGUCUGAUUUGCCAGAAGGACUGGCAAGGUCAUUAUAGAUAAGGAUGGCCAGACACUUCUGGGGAGGUAGAAUUUUAGAUGGAAAUUGGAAGUCAGUGUGUGCAUGAGCAAUAAUCACCUGUUAAUAAUAAUAGUUAUUUUUUAGCACUGACUAUGUGUUUGGUACUGUGCCAAGUUAAAUGAAUGCUUCUCACAGCCCUUUGAAGCAUAAUUACUAGUGUGAUGCCCAUUUGAUAGAUGAGGAAAUUGAGGUUUAAAGGGGUGAAGUAGCUGGCCCAACAGAUGCAGAGGGACCAGGAUUCAAACACAGGAGGUCUGAUGGAUUGGGGUGCUCCCAGUCACCAUACUUGACAAUCUCUUGGGACAGAAGCCCAAGGCAGAAGAGAUCUCCUGGGGUGAUCACAGGAGGUGCUACAGUACAGACGCAGCCAGGGCUGGGUUUGAAUCCCUGACACAUGACCCGGAGCAAGUCACAGUACCACUUGGAUGUUCAGGCUCCUCUCCUGUGAAAUGGAGAAAAUAACAACAAAUGCUGCUUUCAAGAUUCAGCCAGUCAAUGUGAACUUAGUCCGGUUUCUGGCAUAUAUGAAACCCUCAGACAAAGGCACUAUUAUUGUUCUACACUGGGGAGAAUGCAGC
rnacentral:lncRNA from 1 species